rnacentral:tRNA from 1 species
GUUGUAGUUCAGUGGUAGAGCGCUUGCCUAGCAAAUGUGAGGCACUGGGUUCAAUACUCAGCACAACA